AGAGUUUGAUCAUGGCUCAGAACGAACGCUGGCGGCAGGCCUAACACAUGCAAGUCGAGCGCCCCCGCAAGGGGGAGCGGCGGACGGGUGAGUAACGCGUGGGAAUUUUCCUCAAGGUACGGAACAACUCAGGGAAACUUGGGCUAAUACCGUAUGAUGUCUAGCGACCAAAGAUUUAUCGCCUUGGGAUAAGCCCGCGUCAGAUUAGGUAGUUGGUGGGGUAACGGCCUACCAAGCCUGCGAUCUGUAGCUGGUCUGAGAGGACGAUCAGCCACACUGGGACUGAGACACGGCCCAGACUCCUACGGGAGGCAGCAGUGGGGAAUCUUGCGCAAUGGGCGAAAGCCUGACGCAGCCAUGCCGCGUGAAUGAUGAAGGUCUUAGGAUUGUAAAGUUCUUUCGCUCGUGACGAUGAUGACGGUAACGAGAGAAGAAGACCC
rnacentral:rRNA from 1 species